rnacentral:rRNA from 1 species
GAUGAACGCUAGCGGCAGGCUUAAUACAUGCAAGUUGAGGGGCAGCAUGAUAUACGCGAGUAUAUUGAUGGCGACCGGCGGACGGGUGAGUAAUAGGUAGGAGACCUACCUCAUACAGGGGGAUAGCAUAGAGAAAUCUGUGGUAAUACCCCAUGAGGUUAUAUGAAUAGAGGCAUAUAAUCAAAGCAUAAGCGAUUAUGCGGUAUGAGAGGGGCCUACUGACCAUUAGCUAGUUGGUGAGGUAAGGGCUCACCAAGGCGAAGAUGGUUAGGGGUUUUGAGAGAGAGACCCCCCACAUUGGAACUGAGAGACGGUCCAGACUCCUACGGGAGGCAGCAGUAGGGAAUAUUGGGCAAUGGGCGAAAGCCUGACCCAGCCAUGCCGCGUGAAGGAAGACGGCCUUAUGGGUUGUAAACUUCUUUACUAUGCGAAUAGAGGUUAGUACGAGAUACUAAUAGGAAGGUAGUGUAGUAAAAGCACCGGCUAACU